rnacentral:rRNA from 1 species
CCUACGGGUGGCAGCAGUGGGGAAUAUUGCACAAUGGGCGCAAGCCUGAUGCAGCGACGCCGCGUGAGCGAUGAAGGCCUUCGGGUCGUAAAGCUCUGUCCUAAGGGAAGAAUAAUGACGGUACCUUAGGAGGAAGCCCCGGCUAACUACGUGCCAGCAGCCGCGGUAAUACGUAGGGGGCGAGCGUUAUCCGGAAUCACAGGGCGUAAAGGGUGCGUAGGCGGCCCUGCAAGUCAGGAGUUAAAUCCAUCGGCUCAACCGGGGUCAGGUCUUGAGACUGUAGGGCUUGAGUGCAGGAGAGGAGGGCGGAAUUGGUAGUGAAGCGGUGAACUGCGUAGCUAGUAGGGGGAACACCGGUGGGGAAGGGGGCUCGGUAGACUGCAAAUUACGGUGGGACGCGAGAGAGUGGGACGCCAACAGGAUUAGAGACCCUUGUAGUC